CAGCAGCCGCGGUAAUACGUAGGUGGCAAGCGUUGUCCGGAAUUAUUGGGCGUAAAGGGCUCGCAGGCGGUUUCUUAAGUCUGAUGUGAAAGCCCCCGGCUCAACCGGGGAGGGUCAUUGGAAACUGGGAAACUUGAGUGCAGAAGAGGAGAGUGGAAUUCCACGUGUAGCGGUGAAACGCGUAGAGAUGUGGAGGAACACCAGUGGCGAAGGCGACUCUCUGGCCCGUAACUGACGCUGAGGAGCGAAAGCGUGGGGAGCGAACAGGAUUAGAUACCCCAGUAGUCCCUGUCUCUUAUAC
rnacentral:rRNA from 1 species